rnacentral:snRNA from 1 species
GUGCUCACUUCGGCAGCACAUAUACUAAAAUUGGAACAAUACAGGGAAGAUUAGCAUGGCCCCUAUGGAAGAAAUUAAAAAUAAAUAAAUCCUGAUGUCACAUUUUU